GUAAUCAGGUCCCCUGUCCAGAGAGUCUGAUGGCUCAAAGAAUUUCCUGUGAGUGGAGGGACACAGCAAUUACUGGGAAACCACGCCUAUGCCUGGAGCACCUUCUAUCCAUCCCACCUUGGAGCCCAAGACCUUCCGUAGCUCUGUGGUUCAGAGCCCGUGGCCAAUCAGUUGGAAUGAACACAAGGCAGAACCUCUUUAGUAGCAUUGGAUUAGGGAACUAAGGCGGGCUGUGAACUUCAGUCUACGGUAAGCACAGCACCCAGGAAGGAAGAGACUGAUUUAGCCUAUCACAAGAGCUCCUUUUUCAUUUUUCUUUAAUUUUAUCUUAUUGUUUAUUUUGGUUUUUGGAGACUGGGUUUCUCUGUGUAGCUCUGGUUGCCCUGGAACUUG
rnacentral:lncRNA from 1 species